AUAGUUGUGUAUUCUUCGUUGUGGGUUCCUCUAGCUGUGGCAUGUGGGACGCCGCCUCAGCGUGGUCUGACGAGCAGUGCCAUGUCCGCGCCCAGGAUUCGAACCGACGAAACACUGGGCCGCCUGCAGCGGAGCGCGCGAACUUAACCACUCGGCCACGGGGCCAGCCCCUCUUUGCCUACUUUUUAAACAGGCUUGUUAUGUGGAAUCCUCAUACACCUCCUGUGAGGUAAAGAGAGAAAGCAUUAUUAUUGUCACUUACGUUGAAGGCAAUAAAGCCCAGAGCCGUUGGGAUGAGUUGCCCAAGGUCACACAGAUGGUGUGUGGCAAACAACCGAGAUCUUCUGAUUCUAAAAGUCUGGUUAUCAGAGAGUUCUAGUCCCUGUUCUGGUUACAUUUGUCAUUAUAAAUUGAAACUUCUGGAUUUGGUGAAUGAAAGGCAACCUGAGAGACCCAUCCCCUCGCGGUGUGCUAUUGAAGGAUUUCUGGGCCUGCGAGGAGGAAAACUAGACCUUGCUGAAAUUCACCAGCAGGGUGCAGUUCACCCAGUGAGACCUUUCGGGGCAGAGCCUGCCAGCGUCUUCGGAAGGAAAUGCCCCUCGACACUAACUUUACUGUGUGCUGGAAUUUUGAAACAUCUUAAUCUACCUUGUGUAGUUUGGAGAAUUAAAGGCAAAAUAAGUGAAUCAACUGGAAUUAAAUAAACUUAACAAA
rnacentral:lncRNA from 1 species